AACUUUGCAAUGCGGGAAACCGUGACAAGGGAACUCUGAGUGCCCGUAAAAUCGGGCUGUCCAUCGGUUUAAAUAACCGGUGAAGAAAGGGCCGGGCAAGACCGGUGCCAGCCGCCGCGGUAAUACCGGCGGCUCGAGUGGUGGCCACUAUUACUGGGCUUAAAGCGUUCGUAGCUGGUCUGUUAAGUCUCUGGGGAAAUCUUCCGGCUUAACCGGAAGGCGUCUCAGGGAUACUGGCAGACUAGGGACCGGGAGAGGUGAGAGGUACUCCAGGGGUAGGAGUGAAGUCCUGUAAUCCUUGGGGGACCACCUGUGGCGAAGGCGUCUCACCAGAACGGCUCCGACAGUGAGGGACGAAAGCUGGGGGAGCAAACCGGAUUAGAUACCCGGGUAGUCCCAGCUGUAAACGAUGCGCGUUAGGUGUAUCGGUGACCACGAGUCACCGAGGUGCCGAAGAGAAAUCGUGAAACGUGCCGCCUGGGAAGUACGGUCGCAAGGCUGAAACUUAA
rnacentral:rRNA from 1 species